rnacentral:rRNA from 1 species
UACGUAGGUGGCAAGCGUUGUCCGGAUUUACUGGGCGUAAAGAGCGCGCAGGCGGUCGGAUAAGUCGAAUGUGAAAGCCCCCGGCUCAACUGGGGAGGGUCAUUCGAUACUGUUCGACUCGAAGGCAGGAGAGGGAAGUGGAAUUCCUGGUGUAGCGGUGAAAUGCGCAGAUAUCAGGAGGAACACCGGUGGCGAAGGCGGGUCUCUGGGCCGUAACUGACGCUGAGGAGCGAAAGCGUGGGGAGCGAACAGG